rnacentral:rRNA from 1 species
GUCUUUUUGAUUUUAAUUUAAAGUCAAAUCUGCCCACUGAUUUUUAUUAAAGGGCUGCAGUAUAUUGACUGUACAAAGGUAGCAUAAUAAAUAGUCUUUUAAUUGAAGACUUGUAUGAAAGAUUUGAUGAGAUAUAAACUGUCUCUUUUCUAUAUUUAGAAUUUAAUUUUUUAGUAAAAAAGCUAAAAUUAGUUUAAAAGACGAGAAGACCCUAUAGAGUUUUAUAAUUAAUUUAUUUAUAUAUUUAUAUGUAUAAUUUGGAAUUUAAUUAAUUUAAUUAUUUUAUUGGGGUGAUAGAAAAAUAUAUUUAACUUUUUAUAUAAAAUUACACUAAUUAGUGAGUAUAUGAUCCAUAGAUUGUGAUUAAAAGAAAAAAUUACCUUAGGGAUAACAGCGUAAUUUUUUUUUUUAGUUCUUAUAGGAAAAAGAGUUUGCGACCUCGAUGUUGGAUUAAAAUAAAAUUUAAAUGUAGAAGUUUAAAAUUUUUGAUCUGUUCGAUCAUUAAAAUCUUACA